UACGUAGGGUGCGAACGUUAAUCGGAAUUACUGGGCGUAAAGCGUGCGCAGGCGGUUUUGUAAGUCAGAUGUGAAAUCCCCGGGCUUAACCUGGGAACUGCGUUUGAAACUACAAGGCUAGAGUGUAGCAGAGGGGGGUGGAAUUCCACGUGUAGCAGUGAAAUGCGUAGAGAUGUGGAGGAACACCGAUGGCGAAGGCAGCCCCCUGGGUUAACACUGACGCUCAGGUACGAAAGCGUGGGGAGCAAACAGG
rnacentral:rRNA from 1 species